AGUGAACGCUGGCGGUAGGCCUAACACAUGCAAGUCGAACGGCAGCACAGUAAGAGCUUGCUCUUACGGGUGGCGAGUGGCGGACGGGUGAGGAAUACAUCGGAAUCUACUUUUUCGUGGGGGAUAACGUAGGGAAACUUACGCUAAUACCGCAUACGACCUACGGGUGAAAGCAGGGGAUCUUCGGACCUUGCGCGAUUGAAUGAGCCGAUGUCGGAUUAGCUAGUUGGCGGGGUAAAGGCCCACCAAGGCGACGAUCCGUAGCUGGUCUGAGAGGAUGAUACGCCCCACGGCACCAGAGACCGGUCACAGAAUCUUGAGGGAGGUACCAGUGGGGAAUAGGGGACGAUGGUCGAAACGUUGAUCCUGACAUACCGGGUGGGUGAAGAAGGCUUUCGGGUUGUAAAGCCAUUGUGACGGGUAAGAAAAGCAGCGGCUGAAUCCCCCGCUGUGCUGACGGAACCAAAAGAAGAGGCACCGGCUAACUACGUUCCAGCACCCGCGAAUAAUCGAACAGCACCCGUUUGAAC
rnacentral:rRNA from 1 species